AGAAAUCGAUGGUGAACCGCCAGUCAUUGAGGAUGUGGAAGAAACCGACAGUGAACCACCUUUCAUUGAUGAUGUUGAAGCGAGGCACAUCUUUCGAAGGAAGACAGUAUGAGGCGAAAGAAGAGUCAUUCAAUACAUUUAUAAAGGAAACAUUCCAGAUAUACGGAAUGGAUCCCCUAAACCUUUCUACGCAUACAA